rnacentral:rRNA from 1 species
AUUGAACGCUGGCGGCAUGCCUUACACAUGCAAGUCGAACGGCCGCGCGGACUUCUUUCUGCCCUCACGUUACCAACGGACGAGUAAUACACCCGAACGUACCCUGUUUUUGGGGCUGACUUGUCUUCAGAUUACCUAAUCCCGCAUCCGACCUUAUGUUGAAACUCGUGGUCCGAUAACGGCCUCCUGCUUUACGAUCGCCUAUUGUCUGAUUAGCUAGUUGGUGGGGUAAAGGCCCACCAAGGCGAUGAUCAGUAGCCGGUCUGAGAGGACGAUCAGCCACACUGGAACUGAGACACGGCCCAGACUCCUACGGGAGGCAGCAGUGGGGAAUUUUGGGCAAUGGGGGAAACCCUGAUGGAGCAAUGCCGCGUGUGUGAAGAAGGCCUUCGGGUUGUAAAGCACUGUUGUUAGGAAAGAAAAAGUGCGGAAGAAAAUAUGCAGUGCAUGACGGUACCGGAAGAAUAAGCAACGGCUAACUAUGUG